ensembl:lncRNA
GCAGGAGGCCCCCAGGAAGCUGGAUAAAGAUCAGGUCUCUCUGCAGAAGCAGGAAGUUGUGCCCUUGCCUCGUGGCUUGUUUUCUGAGAACCGGUGGAAGUGCAGACCUUAGACGGCCUCCUGGGAGGGGGGACGGAGACGGGGCCCUGCAGUGGAGGAGCUGCUUGGUUGGCACGGGCAGAGCUGAGAGCAUGUGCUGCAGACAGAGGCCCACAGGGAGGCCAGCCCUGCCCUGGAGCCCAGAGCUGCUCCCCCGUGUCCAGACCCAGCAGGAAACAAAGUCACAUCUGGCCCCUCCUCUGGUCAGAAGCUGCACUUCCCCCCAGAGAAAGCCAAGCACCAAGGACCCACCAGGCCACGUGUACUGACC